rnacentral:rRNA from 2 species
UACGUAGGGGGCAAGCGUUGUCCGGAAUCAUUGGGCGUAAAGCGCGUGUAGGCGGCUAGAUAAGUCUGCUCUGAAAGCCCGGGGCUCAACCCCGGGAGGCGGGUGGAUACUGUCUAGCUCGAGUCCGGAAGAGGAGUGUGGAAUUCCUGGUGUAGCGGUGAAAUGCGCAGAUAUCAGGAGGAACACCAAUGGCGAAGGCAGCACUCUGGGACGUGACUGACGCUGAGACGCGAAAGCGUGGGGAGCAAACAGG